UCCGAUAGAAUUAUAUAUGAUACAUAGAAAAACAAAACUUCAAGAACCAUAUCAAGAACAAAAGACGGAUUUCAAAAUGUUUGAUCCUUGGAUGGCAAUAAAAAUAUAUCAAAAAAGAGAAGCAGCCUAUCAAGAUGGUCAUAGAGUGGAAAUUAGGGAGUUGGUUGAUGCAUUAGGGUGGACAAAUGUUCUUGGAUUAGUGGAAUUUCGAACCACAAUUUAUGUGGAAGUAUCGAUAUUGUUACUCAUUAUUAUAUGUCUUUGGAUCCUUCGUCCAUGCAGUUUAAGGAAUGAUGAUGACAUACAAGAAGAGGACUAUAAAACAGUGAAGAAAAUGCUUAAAAAUACCUUAAAAUCGGGAGUUAAGAAAAGAAAACCAAAAGAACGACUCGGUUGGCCUGGAGUCUACAGUAAAGGAUCGAAUAAUGAAACAACAUUUUAACAUAGUUACUCAAUUUGACGACUCUUUUUCUGAGAUAGCCAGCGGCUUGAGCUCCUUCAGCAUUAGCUUUCAUUUUUAAACGAUUUGGGACCGUGCGAAGAGACCCAGAUUUGUGUUCCUCUCUUUUCCGAAACAAGGAUAGAUAUUGACUAUUUGCCUUAGCAUCUUGGUAAUAAUAUUCUACAUAUAAUAGAAUAAUUUGAAAAAUAAGAAAAAAACACAAUUAUGAGUGGAAUUUUAUACAAGUGUGUAAUUAAACUUAUACAAAAUAUUAUUGCGUUUGGCCAAGGCAUAUUAUGUAGAUAGAUAAUAUUAAAAUAAAGAGAUCAAACAUUGACAAAA
rnacentral:lncRNA from 1 species